rnacentral:rRNA from 2 species
CGGCGAGGGGAGUGAAAAAGAACCUGAAACCGUGUACGUACAAGCAGUAGGAGCCUCUUUAUGGGGUGACUGCGUACCUUUUGUAUAAUGGGUCAGCGACUUAUAUUCUGUAGCAAGGUUAACCACAUAGGGGAGCCGUAGGGAAACCGAGUCUUAACUGGGCGAAUGAGUUGCAGGGUAUAGACCCGAAACCCGGUGAUCUAUCCAUGGGCAGGUUGAAGGUUGGGUAACACUAACUGGAGGACCGAACCGACUAAUGUUGAAAAAUUAGCGGAUGACUUGUGGAUGGGGGUGAAAGGCCAAUCAAACCGGGAGAUAGCUGGUUCUCCCCGAAAGCUAUUUAGGUAGCGCCUCGUGAACUCAUCUUCGGGGGUAGAGCACUGUUUCGACUAGGGGGUCAUCCCGACUUACCAACUCGAUGCAAACUGCGAAUACCGAAGAAUGUUAUCACGGGAGACACACGGCGGGUGCUAACGUCCGUCGUGAAGAGGGAAACAACCCAGACCGCCAGCUAAGGUCCCAAAGUCAUGGUUAAGUGGGAAACGAAGUGGGAAGGCUCAGACAGCCAGGAUGUUGGCUUAGAAGCAGCCAUCAUUUAAAGAAAGCGUAAUAGCUCACUGGUCGAGUCGGCCCGCGCGGAAGAUGUAACGGGGCUAAACCAUGCACCGAAGCUGCGGCAGCGACACGUAGUGUUGUUGGGUAGGGGAGCGUUCUGUAAGCCUGCGAAGGUGUACUGUGAGGUAUGCUGGAGGUAUCAGAAGUGCGAAUGCUGACAUAAGUAACGAUAAUGCGGGUGAAAAACCCGCACGCCGGAAGACCAAGGGUUCCUGUCCAACGUUAAUCGGGGCAGGGUGAGUCGACCCCUAAGGCGAGGCUGAAAAGCGUAGUCGAUGGGAAACGGGUUAAUAUUCCCGUACUGGUGGUAACUGCGAUGGGGGAACGGAGAAGGCUAGGUUGUCCGGGCGACGGUCGUCCCGGUUCAAGCAGGUAGGCAGAGUGAUUAGGCAAAUCCGGUCACUUAAUGCUGAGAUGUGAUGACGAACCACCAAGGUGGUGAAGCAAUUGAUGCCCCGCUUCCAGGAAAAGCCUCUAAGCUUCAGGUUACCAACAAUCGUACCCCAAACCGACACAGGUGGUCAGGUAGAGAAUACUCAGGCGCUUGAGAGAACUCGGGUGAAGGAACUAGGCAAAAUGGUGCCGUAACUUCGGGAGAAGGCACGCUGGCGGUAGGUAAAGUCCCUUGCGGACGGCGCUGAAGCCAGUCGAAGAUACCAGCUGGCUGCAACUGUUUAUUAAAAACACAGCACUGUGCAAACACGAAAGUGGACGUAUACGGUGUGACGCCUGCCCGGUGCUGGAAGGUUAAUUGAUGGGGUCAGCCGUAAGGCGAAGCUCCUGAUCGAAGCCCCAGUAAACGGCGGCCGUAACUAUAACGGUCCUAAGGUAGCGAAAUUCCUUGUCGGGUAAGUUCCGACCUGCACGAAUGGCGUAAUGAUGGCCAGGCUGUCUCCACCCGAGACUCAGUGAAAUUGAACUCGCUGUGAAGAUGCAGUGUACCCGCGGCAAGACGGAAAGACCCCGUGAACCUUUACUAUAGCUUGACACUGAACAUUGAGCCUUGAUGUGUAGGAUAGGUGGGAGGCUUUGAAGUGUGGACGCCAGUCUGCAUGGAGCCAACCUUGAAAUACCACCCUUUAACGUUUGAUGUUCUAACCUAGGCCCAUAAACUGGGUCGGGGACCGUGUCUGGUGGGUAGUUUGACUGGGGCGGUCUCCUCCUAAAGAGUAACGGAGGAGCACGAAGGUUGGCUAAGCAUGGUCGGACAUCAUGCGGUUAGUGCAAAGGCAUAAGCCAGCUUGACUGCGAGAGUGACGGCUCGAGCAGGUACGAAAGUAGGUCUUAGUGAUCCGGUGGUUCUGAAUGGAAGGGCCAUCGCUCAACGGAUAAAAGGUACUCCGGGGAUAACAGGCUGAUACCGCCCAAGAGUUCAUAUCGACGGCGGUGUUUGGCACCUCGAUGUCGGCUCAUCACAUCCUGGGGCUGAAGUAGGUCCCAAGGGUAUGGCUGUUCGCCAUUUAAAGUGGUACGCGAGCUGGGUUUAGAACGUCGUGAGACAGUUCGGUCCCUAUCUGCCGUGGGCGUUGGAAGAUUGAGAGGGGUUGCUCCUAGUACGAGAGGACCGGAGUGAACGCACCACUGGUGUUCGGGUUGUCAUGCCAAUGGCAUUGCCCGGUAGCUAAGUGCGGAAGAGAUAACCGCUGAAAGCAUCUAAGCGGGAAACUUGCCUCGAGAUGAGUCUUCCCUGUCGCUUUAAGCGACCUAAAGGAACGUUUAAGACUAAGACGUUGAUAGGCUGGGUGUGUAAGCGUAGCGAUACGUUGAGCUAACCAGUACUAAUGAACCGUGAGGCUUAACCU